rnacentral:rRNA from 1 species
GUCUACGGCCAUACCACCCUGAACGCACCCGAUCUUGUCUGAUCUCAGAAGUUAAGCAGGGUCCGGCCUGGUUAGUACUUGGAUGGGAGACCGCCUGGGAAUACCAGGUGCUGUAGGCU